GUUACAGCAGCCGCGGUAAGACAGAGGGUGCGAGCGUUGUUCGGAAUUACUGGGCGUAAAGCGCAUGUAGGUGGUGUAGCAUGUCAAGUGUGAAAUCCCCCGGCUUAACCGGGGAAGUGCACUCGAAACUGCUAUGCUAGAGUUCGGAAGAGGAAGGUGGAAUUCCAGGAGUAGAGGUGAAAUUCGUAGAUAUCUGGAGGAACACCCGUGGCGAAGGCGGCCUUCUGGUCCGUUACUGACACUGAGAUGCGAAAGCGUGGGGAGCAAACAGGAUUAGAUACCCUUGUAGUCC
rnacentral:rRNA from 1 species